GCAACCUAAGAACACAAAGUUCAUCAGAUGGAUGCUCACACUUAUACUCACCGUGAGUACAUAGGAAUGUGAAUGUACAGGAGACGACUAAGAGGUACAGUUCAGCAGCUGGUUUUCUCCACUGGGGAGAACGUGACAAGGGAGAAGGUCAGAGCUCGGAGCUCCUAGAGUACACAGACACAUUUAAUGAUGGUUCCCUGGACGGAAGCUAUGAUGACUCCCUGUGGACACUUGGGCAUUUUGGGAAGAAGCAGACUAUCGGGACUCUUGUUCACUCGAUAAGACAAGCUGCCAUGUUGGAAAGGACUACAUGGGAAGGAACUGAAGGUGGUCUCUGGGCCAACAGCCAGCAAGGAACUGAGGCCCUCAACCCAACAAUCCUCAAGGAACAAAAUCUUGUCAACAAUACAUGAACGAAUGUAGUAGUAGAUUCUUUCUCAGUUGGGCCUUCAGGUAUGUCUGCAUAUAUUUAUUCACCAUUUGAACUUUCUUAAUGACUUCAUUCCACACCCACCAUUUGCUGUGAAAUCCAUCAAUCACAUACCAGUUCUGAUGUUGUUCUUGAUAAUAUUGCCUAAUCUCAUUAAUAUUUUUGCGGUGUUUUGAGUUUUUGACUGCCAUAAUUUGUGUGCUAUUGUGCAGUGGAUAAGGCAAACUAAUAAAGAAACAGAAUGAAUGGAAAAAGUUGUAAAAAACAUACUUGUUUCCUGGAUGAUUAAAGUUCAUUUCUUUAUCAUUGCUUUCAUCACACACAUUACCUUGGUUCCUUUUUUUUUUCCAGGAACAAUCUUUUGAAAAUCUCCUUGGAAGGCACAUCCAGCUCAAAGAUGACCAUGGGAAUGAUUGACCUAGAUUCCAGGAGGCUGAUUUGAUACUUAGUUACAGGAUAGCCAUCGAUGACAACACUAACAAGGGGAAACAAGAAAAUAAUUCCAGAUUUCUUUUCUCUCAUACCUUCCUUCCUGUUUUCUAGAAGCAGUCCAUCUCUUUAGGAGUAGCCCCCUGGCCUUCCUUGUGUAACUUGAUUUAUUGUCUUUGUACUUUGCCCUCUUUAUCUCUAUAUUUUUAACUUCGGUCAGCCCAAGAGCCAGGUGUAGGGCAGCAUACAUACAGACCCAGCUCUGAAUUCAUACACUUAGCAUCACAGAGCUAGGCUUUGGCAGAAUUCAAGAGAACACACAUAAUACCUUGAGCAUUGUGUUAUUCAAUUGGUGCUAUUACUUUAAGAAAUGAAACAGCGGAAAGAGUAUAGGUUUCAGAGGCAGACAGACUUAGAUUUGAGACCCAGUUUGACCUCUCUGAGUGCCAGUUUUUAGUAAAAUAGGGGAGAUGAUAUUUAACCCUUACAGUCAUCUUAAAGACUUAUAGAUCUAGUAUGUAAUGCAGCUAGAACAGGAACUGGCACAAUGAAUAGUAUCCUAGUAAGAGAUUAAGCAAAUAUGGGAAAACAAUGGUGCUCUAAGCUUGCUUUUAUACUAAAGUUCUGUGGGGAGGCCGGCAAGUGGGAGGAGAGACAGGGAGUUGGUGAGAGUAGCCCUGUGAUAUCUGAGAAAGAAUGUUCCAUCAGGACCCAUCAUGCCUCUGAGCAGAAAUGACAGAGAAUUUAAGUCAGUCCAACAGUCUGAGAUAAUGAGAGUAUUACUAUCAAACUCAGAUGAGGAAUAAAGGCAGUCCACAAAUUCUGGGAGGAGUGACCCCCAAGGUCUGGAAACUCCCUCUGAGGUGGGAGCAGGCUGGGCCUGCCAGCUGGUGGUCUUCAAGAGGGGCUGGUUUAGAGGAAGUCACAGGACCCCCUCACUCAGUGCUCUAUGGCCAAGUCUCUAGGCAGUAGUUCCAUGGCAGAGAGAACUGUAAAUUAAUGUAGCCAGGCAAACCUAAUAGAGAAUGUUAUGGGAGUGCCAUUGAUGUUUUGAGGUUUUUCUAAUGGAGAGUAGCUCAAUUUCUUUGCUUGUGAAAGGUUGCUUGAGUGACCGUCAGGAUUAGAAACAUUCAGGGUGAUUAGGCAGUCACUAUCCCGGUGUUAAGAUGAAAUAAAACAUUUGUGACUCA